UUCAUUGCAUUUGGACCGAAAAUCGACGAUUUUCCGAAAAUGAUUGUAUAAACAUAGCUUGCACAAAUUCUUAUGGUUAUAUUCGGAGAAUUACAGAUAACUUUGGAUUUAUUGCGUUUGGACCGAAAAUCGACGAUUUUCCGAAAAAGAUAAUUUUUUCAC
rnacentral:lncRNA from 1 species